GUGCCUUGUUCCUGAUCUCCGUCCUGAACUCCUUUCAGGGUGUGUUAAAGGUCAGCGACUGCAGUGGCUAGAGACUUCAUUCUUGGAGAACCAGAUGGGUCCUAAUGAAUAGCAGGGAGGACCUUAGUGUCCAAGGGCAAUGUGUGCUGUGCAAAGAAGAAGAACAAAGUGAAGAAAGUGGUAGGAGCACCCAGAGGAGAAGGACUUUGGGGCUCAGAGAGACGCCUGAUGAGAGCAUGCUUUGUGAAUCUGGAAUCCUGCACUUGUAGAAGGAAGCCCAGCCGUGACUGAGGGAACAAAGCUACAGGAAAUGGUGUUCACAAA